AUUGGGGAAACAAAAAUCAAUAGCUUCUGGCAGGUGAUGUGGAGGGUUGUGAAUUACCGCCCACUUUUCUGCAGCGCUGACGGCCGGCUGGCCUUGAGCCGGGAACACGACAGUGUGGAUGGAGGUCAGAGGUCACGACAGGAGCAGCGUGGGUAAAGUGAGGGCCAAAAUAAGCAGCAGAAGUGCACUUCUAUUUCCUCUAACUCAAGAGUGCAGGGGUGAAAAGUCAGGCGAAGGACAGUAUGACAGAUCGAGGGAAGGUAAAGUAGAGGUCAACGUCACAGCGCCAUUUCCUGCCUGAUCCCUAUCUCGCUCUCCAUUUCACUACACAACACCUGGGAGAACACACACACACACACACACACACAGAGCCGUCACAACACAAUCGACACAUGGAAAAAUCUUUGCAUGUCUUCAUGUACUGCAGUGCACCAAAUUAAACAGUACAUCAAUUAAAUGAAAAUUCUGUCAUCAUUUACUCACCCUUAUGACAUUUGUAUGACUUUUUUUGUGAAAUGCAAUUAAAAAAAAAUAUUUUUCCAUAUAAUGUCAAUAUUUUUGUUUCAACCCCAGUGUUCUUUAAGAUAACUUCUUUUGUGUUCUGCAGAAGAAAGUCAUUUUCAGACAGAAUUGUCGCUGGUGUCUAGAGCUUUGCUAGAUGGUUGCUGUCUUGUUGUGGGUGGUUGCUAGGGUGUUACUAGGUGGUUACUCUGUGGUUGUGAUAUCAUUGUGAGUGGUUUCUAUGGUGUUACUAGGUGGAGUGGUUGAUGUUUGCUUUGUUUUGAUUUCUAGGGUGUUGUUAGGUGGUUGCUUUGGUGUUGUGGCUGGUUACUAAGGUGUUGCUAAGGUGUUCUGUAAUAUAAUUAUUGUAGGUGUUCUGUAUGGUUGUCAAGUUGUUUUUAGUGGUGUCUAGGGCUUUGCUAGAUGGUUGUAGUUUUGUUGUGUUUGGUUGCUAGGGUGUUACUAGGUGGUUGCUAAAUAGUUUUGGGUGGUUGUUAGGACUUUGCUGCAUUUAGUAGGGUGUUCUGGAAGGUUGCUAUGCUUACCAGAGUGGUUUCUAGUACAUGUCUGUGUCUUGUUCAUCCAUUAACAAACACAAUAAUAAAUUUAAAAUGAUUUAAGUCUCUCUGUAGAAGAAGAGCACACUUUUAGCAUCCAACAGUCUCUCUCAGAUUCAAACGUGAGUGAUUUUAGUCUUUCAUAACCUUCAUCCGAUUGUGUUUUUUCCUGCAGUUUAAUCAGAACGGCACAGACAGAUUCAAUUAUCCCGGACACCUGAACACACAAAGCAGCUCGGCCGUGAGCGCGCUCUAUUGUUGGUCUAAGCAGCAGCCACGCUAAUGGGAAAUAUUGAUUCAAAUCUUCUCUGGCUUUUGCUUUGGACCGGAGCUAGCAGAUUUGUCCCUGCUGGUAAUGGGCCGAUUGGAUCCGAAUCAGACGUGGAAGGCCGUCAUUUCAUCCCUGUUUAUUUCCCCCGAGACUGAGCAGAG
ensembl:lncRNA